UACGAAGGGGGCUAGCGUUGCUCGGAAUCACUGGGCGUAAAGCGCGCGUAGGCGGAUCGUUCAGUCGGGGGUGAAAUCCUGGAGCUCAACUCCAGAACUGCCUUUGAUACUGGCGAUCUUGAGUCCGGGAGAGGUGAGUGGAACUCCGAGUGUAGAGGUGAAAUUCGUAGAUAUUCGGAAGAACACCAGUGGCGAAGGCGGCUCACUGGCCCGGUACUGACGCUGAGGUGCGAAAGCGUGGGGAGCGAACAGG
rnacentral:rRNA from 1 species